rnacentral:lncRNA from 1 species
GAGGUGGCCUCCGCCGCGGGCUCGCGCCCUCCCCCCGGCGUGCGUCGGCGGGAUUGUGAGCUCGUGGGCCCACGGUGAUGAGGGCUGAGUCCGGGACCCGGGAUUGUGAUGUCUCAGGAGGCGGUGGGCGAGUGACGCAGCCCGGGCCUAAGGACCCAGUCCCCGGGGGCCCUGACUCUAGACCCUGAACCUCGCUCUUGUGGCGAGUACGAUAGACACCAGCCCAACCGCAGGUCUCUGGCCACCUGCUGGAAAGCAGCUCUGCUGGGAGGGACAGUGCCCCGGCCUGUCACUGACUCCUGGAGGCCUGGACAGUGUCGAUGGCCUGGUGGGGCAAGCUCAAGUGUGGUUGGAGGUGGGCCCCUGGGAGACAGCUUUCCCAUGGUUUGAAAAUUGGAAGCCGUUCCAGUCUCCUUGUGACCCCAGGAGCUGGGAGAAGCAAGAAACAUCCAAGGAGCUGGGGUGCCUCCAUGUCCUGCCAGCCAACUCUCCAAGUGUCCUCCGACGUCACUGUGCAAAGACAGGCCUUUCGGCUCCUGUGGAACUUUUGGGAAGUCCCGGAUCUUGUUUGGGGCCCGCAACGCCUGUGUCUCUGGAAAGAGGAUCGCCUGCUGACCUGGAAGUUGCCCAAGGAGCCAGUCUGCCUCUGCCUCAUGAGAGGCCAGCGUGGGUAG